rnacentral:rRNA from 1 species
UGGGGAAUAUUGGACAAUGGGGGCAACCCUGAUCCAGCCAUGCCGCGUGGGUGAAGAAGGCCUUCGGGUUGUAAAGCCCUUUUGUACGGGAAGAAAAGCGUGCGGCUAAUAUCCGUACGUGCUGACGGUACCGUAAGAAUAAGCACCGGCUAACUUCGUGCCAGCAGCCGCGGUAAUACGAAGGGUGCAAGCGUUACUCGGAAUUACUGGGCGUAAAGCGUGCGUAGGUGGUGAGUUAAGUCUGAUGUGAAAUCCCCGGGCUCAACCUGGGAAUGGCAUUGGAUACUGGCUCGCUCGAGUGCGGUAGAGGGUGGUGGAAUUCCCGGUGUAGCAGUGAAAUGCGUAGAGAUCGGGAGGAACAUCUGUGGCGAAGGCGGCCACCUGGACCAGCACUGACACUGAGGCACGAAAGCGUGGGGAGCAAACAG